rnacentral:lncRNA from 1 species
GGCAACCUGCUGGGGUCUCCUUCCGCAUUGUGGCUGCUUUGUUCUUUCGCUCUUUGCAGUAAAUCUUGCUACUGCUCAGUCUUUGGGUCCACGCUGCUUUUAUGAGCUGUAACACUCACCGCGAAGAUCUGCAGUUUCACUCCUGAACCCAGCAAGACCACGAGCCCACCGGGAGAAACAAACAACUCCAGACGUGCUACCUUAAGAGCUGUAACACUCACCGUGAAGGUCUGCAGCUUCACUCCUGGAGCCAGUGAGCCCACGAGCCCACCGGGAGGAACGAAAGACUCCAGACGCGCUGCCUUAAGGGCUGUAACACUAACCGUGAAGGUCUGUAGCUUCACUCCUCAGCCAGCGAGACCACGAACCCACCAGAAGGAAGAAACUCCAAACACAUCUGAACAUCAGAAGGGGCAGACUCCAGACGCGCCACCUUAAGAGCUGUAACACUCACCGCGAGGGUCCGUGGCUUCAUUCUUGAAGUCAGUGAGAGCAAGAACCCACCAAUUCCGGACACACUUCCACAUCUUCAGUUGACAUAUAUGGUGUCGGAAGUGAGAUCUGAACAGUAUCACUACAGGAAGGAAUCAGCAAUCUUUGGAACUGGUGUGCAGUAUAUAUUUGAACUCUUUGAGAUCUCUGCUUCAAUAGCUCACCUUUUCUACCCUGGUGAGUCUUCUCUCAGGCUGAGUCUUUUUACUGUGGCACAGACUUUUGACAUGGUUUAGGAUCUGUUUUGGAUAGGGCCACCUUAAUAAAGGACCAUAGGUUCCUCCUGGGAUGAUAAAAGACCUUUUUGUCUUUUUUGGUAAGUCCUUUCUGAUAUAAAGACAAGUGUCUUUCUGAAUUGAUUAAUCUUGGUUUCUACAGAAAUUUACCUUCUGUCUGUGAGGCAUAUCUUUUCUGGUUUGUGCACCUAAUCUGAUAUUUUGUUUGAUCUUCCAGCCUAGGUUAAAAUUUUUGUGAAUACACUUAUCUUGGUUUCUUUUGAUUUGGCUUGACUCUUUUCCCUUGCUUGCUUCUGAAAAUCUUCUGGUGGCAAAAAUAAACAUUCUGGAUGGUGGUUACAGGAUGGCUAAUUAAAAAGGGGAUGCCCUGCCUAUGGAGUAGCCAUUCUUUUAUUUUUUUACUUUAAAAAAAAAAAUAGGCUAGGCGCAGUGGCUCACUCCUGUAAUCCCAGCACUUUGGGAGGCCAAGGCAGGUGGAUGACUUGAGGUCAGGAGUUUGAGACCAGCCUGACCACUAUGGUAAAACCCUGUCUCUACAAAAUACAGAAAUUAGCUGGGCCUGGUGGCGCACACCUGUAAUCCCAGCUACUCGGGAGGCUGAGGCAGGAGAAUCACUUGAACCUGGGAGAUAGAGGUUGCAGUGAGCCAAGAUCGUGCCAUUGUACUCCAGCCUGGGCAAUAAGAGUGAAACUCAGUCUGAAAUAAAUAAAUAAAUAAAUAAAUGAAAUAAAACAAAAACCCACUUUGGGCCAGGCAUGACAGCUGAUGCCUGUAAUCCCAGCACUUUCAGAGGCUAAGACAGGAGGAUAGCUUGAGGCCAGAAGCUCAAGACAAACCUGGGCAACAUAGCAAGAUCCCAUCUCCCAUUUUUUUCAAAUGCUGGAGUGCAGUGGUGUGACCUCAGCUCACUGCAACCUCUGCCUCCCAGGUUCAAGCAAUUCUGCCUCAGUCUCCCAAGCAGCUAUUACAGGCACACACCACCACGCCCAGCUAAUUUUUUUGUUUGUUGGUUGGUUUUUUUUUUGAGACGGAGUCUCGCUGUCACCCAGGCUGGAGUGCAGUGGUGCGAUCUCAGCUCACUGCAGGCUCCGCCUCCUGGGUUCACGCCAUUCUCCUGCCUCAGCCUCCCACGUGGUUGGGACUACAGGCACCCACCACCACGCCCGGCUAAUUUUUUGUAUUUUUACUAGCGAUGGGGUUUCACCAUGUUAGCCAGGAUGGUCUCGAUCUCCUGACCUCGUGAUCUGCCCGCCUCGGCCUCCCAAAGUGCUAGGAUUACAGGCGAGAGCUACCACGCCCGGCCUUGCCCGGCUAAUUUUUGUAUUUUGUAGAGACAGGGUUUCACCAUGUUGACCAGGCUAGUCUCGAACUCCUGACCUCAAGUAAUCCGCCCACCUCGGCCUUCCAAAGUGCUGGGAUUACAGUCAUGAGCCACUGUACCCGGCCAAAAUUUUUUAAAAAUUAGCUGGGAAUGGUGCCACACACUUGUAGUCCUAGCUACUUAGGAGGCUGAGGCAGGAGGAUUGCUUGAGCCUAGAAGUUAGAAGCUGCAAUGAGCUAUAAUUACACCCCUGCAAUCCAUCCUAGGCAACUGAGACCUUCUGUAAAAAAAAAAAAAAAAAAAGGAAAGGAAAAGAAAAAAGAAAAGAAAGAAAAAGCCACUAGGGCAGUUGCCACCAUGUAAAACACUGGUCUAAACUUCUGAUAAUCCCUGACAGGAUUUACAGGAUUUUCUUUGCUCUCCAGAGAUUAAUAAGAGAUGAAAUGAGAUUCUAAAAUAUUAAAGCAAGCUAGGUUUUCAGGGACUCCAGCUGGCUAUAUAUUAUGGCCUGUUCUUACGCAUAUUUUUAAAUGAAUGGGCAAUUACAGGAAGGAAAAUUCAAAGCUCAAAUGGUCAUUAUUUGAAAAACCUAGAACUAUAGAGAUAACAUAGAGAAUCUUCUAAGUUUUCUCUAUUUUUUUCUGCCUACUUUUUUUUUUUUUCUUUUUGAGAUGGAGUCUCGCUCUGUCGCCAGGCCGGAGUGCAGUGGUGCGAUCUCGGCUCACUGCAACCUCUGCCUCCUGGGUUCAAGUGAUUCUCCUGCCUCAGCCUCCCUAGUAGCUGGAACUACAGGUGCCCACCACCAUGCCCAGCUAAUUUUUUUUUUUUUUUUUGAGACAGAGUUUCGCUCUUGUUGCCCAGGCUGAGGUGCAAUGGCACGAUCUCGGCUCUUCACAACCUCUGCCUAACAGGUUCAAGCGAUUCUCAUGCCUCAGCCUCCCGAGUAGCUGGGAUUACAGGAAUUUACCACCACGCCUGGCUAAGUUUGAAUUUUUAGUAGAGGCAGGGUUUCUCCAUGUUGGUCAGGCUGGUCUCGAACUCCCAACCUCAGGUGAUCCGCCUGCCUCGGCCUCCCAAAGUGCUGGGAUUACAAGAAUGUACCACCACACCUGGCUCAGUUUGAAUUUUUAGUAGAGGCGGGGUUUCUCCAUGUUGGUCAGGCUGGUCUCAAACUCCCGACCUCAGGUGAUCCACUGCCUCAGCCUCCCAAAGUGCUGGGAUUACAGGCGUGAGCCACCAUGCCCAGGCUUUUCUGCCUAGUUUUAAUCUGCUGACUUCUACUAGUGUUGAGAGAAAAUUCACUGCUUACGGCAUUCCAGCAAUUUUUUUUUGAGACAGAGUCUUGCUCUGUCGCCCAGGCUGGAGUGCAGUGGCGCCAUCUUGGCUCACUGCAACUUCCGCCUCACAGGUUCAAGUGAUUCUCUCACCUCAGCCUCCUCAGUAGCUAGGAUUAUAGGCAUGUGCCACCACACCCGGCUAAUUUUUGUAUUUUUAGUAGAGACGAGGUUUCACCAUGUUGGCCUGGCUGGUCUCAAACUCCUGACCUCAAGUAAUCCACCCGCCUCAGCCUCCCGAAGUGUUGGGAUUACAGGUGUGAGCCACUGCACCCAGCCCAGAUCGAGCUUUCAUAUUGAAAAUAUAUUAAUGCAAAACUAAAAAAAAAUUUUUGGUUCCCUAUGUUGAAACAACAAGGUUUUCUUAAAGUACUGAUUUAAUUUACUCUUGGUAAAAUAGCAAGAGCUUUUGAUUUUUAACUCUGAAAUCUGGUUCUACAACAGCCAUCUUCUAAACUACAGAGUUUCUAUUUCUUCCUUACAUCUAAUUAAUUUCCCAGGCCAGCUGUGGUGGCUCACACCUGUAAUCCCAGCACUUUGAGAGGAUCACUUGAGCCCAGUAGUUCAAGGCCAGCCCUGGGAACAUAGGGAGAAUCUGUCUUUACAAAACAUAAAUAAAUUAGCUGAGUGUGGUGGUGCACGCCUGUCGUACCAGCAACUUGGGAGGCUCAGGUAGGAGGAUAACUUGAGCCUGGGAGGUGGGGGUUGCCAUGAAUCAUGGCUGCACCACUGCACUCCAGCCUGUGUGACAGAGCAAGACCCUAUCUCAAAAAAAUAAAUAGGCCGGGCACAGUGGCUCAUGCCUGUAAUCCCAGCACUUUGGGAGGCCGAGGCGGGUGGAUCACCUGAGGUCAGAAAUUAGAGACAAGCCUCACCAAUAUGGGUGAAACCCCCUCUCUAUUAACAAUACAAAAAGUGGCUGGGUGUGGUGGUGGGCACCUGGAUUCCCAGCUACUUGGGAGGCUGAGACAGGAGAUGCUUGAACCUGGGAGGCAGAGAUUGCAGUGAGCCGAGAUCACGCCACUGCACUCCAGCCUGGGUGACAGGGCGAGACUCCAUCUCAAAAAAAUAAAUAAAUAGGCUGGGGGCAGUGGCUCAUGCCUGUGAUCCUAGCAUUUUGAGAGGCCAAGGCAGGUGGAUCCCUUGAGGUCAGGAGUUGGAGACCAGCCUGGCCAACAUGAUGAAACCCCGUCUCUACUAAAAAUACAAAAAAAAUUAGCCAGGCAUGGUGGUGGGCGCUUGGAUUCCCAGCUACUUGGGAGGCUGAGGCAGGAGAAUCGCUUGAACAUGGGAGGUGGAGGUUGCAGUGAGCUGAGAUCACACAGCUGCAGUCCAGCCUGGGC